rnacentral:piRNA from 1 species
UGAGUCUUCACCGUUGCCAAGUGAUCU